AUCAAUACCCUCAAAAAUAUCCUAUACAGACUGUUGGAAGGAUGAGUGUGUGAAAUACACACAAACACUCAUACAUACAAAAGUUACAAUGAACAAGUAGGCUUUUGUUAUUUUCAGUCUUGAUACUGAAAAGCUGCUAUUGUUUAGCCUCAGUCUUUACUGAACUGCAGAGAGUAAAGAAGUUAACGUGCUCAGUAAAAUAAAAUAAUAAAUAUUGAAAUCAACAAAUCUAAACACUCGAAGACAACUUAUGCACUUUAUGGCAAUUGAAGAUAUAGCCUUUCAAGUCCGUCCAAUCACAGUGGCAUUUUUAAUCGGCCGAACACUUUCCAAGGAUUCUGUGAAGAAAAUCUGCGCUGACAACAGAUUCGUCACUCUGAUAAAAGUUGUUAACAUAGAGUAACAGGAUACCAGAUCUGGCCAACAAAGCGGCCGUUACGAUAUUCGACAAUUCAACAUGGGAGCGGUACACGAUGAGUUUCUACGUUACGAAAAUCUUUGUGUAUGCCAAAUCAACCCGUUUCGAACGAUGCGACUAUUCCAGAUUGUUUCAAUUCGUUUAGGCUGGAGUCUAUCAAGAUUCUCACUGUGCUUAUUGUGCUAUUGCUCAUUUUUUAUUCAAGAAGCCUGGUCGAAUCAAUUUGGGAUUGAAGUUUCUCCGUGUCUAUUUCUUAUCAUUUUUUUUUAUUCAAGAAGCCUGGUCGAUUCAAUUUGGGAUUGAAGUUUCUCCGUGUCUGCUCUUCUUUUUUAUUCAAGAAGCCUGGUCGAAUCAAUUUGGGAUUGAAGUUUCUCCCUAUGUCUACUCUUCAUUUUUAUUCAAGAAGCCUGGUCGAUUCAAUUUGGGAUUGAAGUUUCUCCCUAUGUCUACUCUUCAUUUUUAUUCAAGAAGCCUGGUCGAAUCAGUUUGUCAAUGCCGAAUCAACUCGUUUUGAAGGAUGCGACUAUUCAAGAUUGUUUAAAUUCUUUUAGGCUUGCAUCUAUUAGGAUUCUAAGAUUCUCACUGUGCUUAUUGUGCUAUUGCUCAUUUUUUAUUCAAGAAGCCUGGUCGAAUCAAUUUGGGAUUGAAGUUUCUCCCUAUGUCUACUCUUCAUUUUUAUUCAAGAAGCCUGGUCGAUUCAAUUUGGGAUUGAAGUUUCUCCAUGUCUGCUCUUCAUUUUUAUUCAAGAAGCCUGGUCAAAUCAAUUUGGGAUUGAAGUUUCUCCCUAUGUCUACUCUUCAUUUUUAUUCAAGAAGCCUGGUCGAAUCAGUUUGUCAAUGCCGAAUCAACUCGUUUUGAAGGAUGUGACUAUUCAAGAUUGUUUUAAUUCUUUUAGGCUUGCAUCUAUUAGGAUUCUAAGAUUCUCACUGUGCUUAUUGUGCUAUUGCUCAUUAAGAAGCCUGGUCGAAUCAAUUUGGGAUUGAAGUUUCUCCCUGUGUCUAUUUCUUAUUUUUUUUAUUCAAGAAGCCUGGUCGAAUCAAUUUGGGAUUGAAGUUUCUCCCUAUGUCUACUCUUCAUUUUUAUUCAAGAAGCCUGGUCGAAUCAAUUUGGGAUUGAAGUUUCUCCCUAUGUCUACUCUUCAUUUUUAUUCAAGAAGCCUGGUCGAAUCAAUUUGGGAUUGAAGUUUCUCCGUGUCUGCUCUUCAUUUUUAUUCAAGAAGCCUGGUCGAAUCAAUUUGGGAUUGAAGUUUCUCCCUAUGUCUACUCUUCAUUUUUAUUCAAGAAGCCUGGUCGAAUCAAUUUGGGAUUGAAGUUUCUCCGUGUCUGCUCUUCAUUUUUAUUCAAGAAGCCUGGUCGAAUCAAUUUGGGAUUGAAGUUUCUCCCUAUGUCUACUCUUCAUUUUUAUUCAAGAAGCCUGGUCGAAUCAGUUUGUCAAUGCCGAAUCAACUCGUUUUGAAGGAUGCGACUAUUCAAGAUUGUUUUAAUUCUUUUAGGCUUGCAUCUAUUAGGAUUCUAAGAUUCUCACUGUGCUUAUUGUGCAAUUGCUCAUUUUUUAUUCAAGAAGCCUGGUCGAUUCAAUUUGGGAUUGAA